AAUCUUUUUUUUUUAAAGUGCCAUGUAGAUGCAGUCUAUGCAGAUGGAAGACUUUUUUUGUUUGUUUGGUGUAGGAAUACCAUUUCCCCCAAACAGUGGUAGCUACAUCAACAGAAGUCGUCUUCCUUCAGAAUAGCAGUGUCUACACUGGAUAUUAGGUCAGCAUAACUAGAUUGGUCAGGGAUGUGGUUUUUCCCCCCCCAAUCCCUCAUAACAUAGCUGUGUUGACCUAACUUUUAAGUGUAGGCCUGGCCUCAGAGGAAGUCAGCAUAACCAAGCUGAUGCAGCAUCCAGAUUGCCAUAGAAGGGAAUUGGAGUCAGGAAAGUCAGAUGGUGUUUAAAAGACAGCUUGGGAAAGGGGAAGAGUAACCGAAGAAUAAAAAUAGUUCCUCUUUUAAAGGGAUGGAGAAAAUUUAGAAUGCUCAAAGACCAUGCAAAUGUGUACAAUAGCUAAUCACUCUAUGUAAGAGACUAGAUAAAGUGUAAUUCUAAGAUAGCAUUUAGAAGCUGAGCCUAUGGUUAGGUCCUUAUGGAUUCUGUGACUGUGGAAUUUGCAAUGGAAUUCAGCCCUUCCCACAGAAUUGUGAUCCAGAAUCUCAACUUCUUACUUUAAUUAAUAAAAAUAAAUAAAUAAAAAAAAUCUAGCCCUUAUAGUUUCGAAGAUAACUUUGAGAAUGUGAACUGUGCAACCCAAUGCCUGUCUGAGUUUGCAAAGAACCUGAAACAAUGGUUCUAAGAGAUGUGAACAUCCCAAAUCAUCUCAUUUGGAACCUCAUGGACUCUGAUUGUGUGGCUGUAGAAUCUAGCAUUUUUCCAAGAUUCUACAGAAUCAAGCACUUUUGCUGCUACUGGGCACCCAACAUCUUGUGUUGUCUCCCUGCCCCGCUGGGACAUAGCAAGCAGCAGCUGUUGACCUGCACCUUUUCCCACAAAGUCGAAUUAAAUGGAUUAUAGUGCUACCUUACUGUUUCAUAGAACCAGGCAAGGGUGGUUGGGUGAUGUAUGUGCCAAGGAGCCAGAGCUUGAGUUUAGUUUGCAGCCAGGGAGUGAAAGGAGCCAAUAGUGCAGGCUGGCCAGUUAGGCUGCCUAGAGAAUGCAGCAGCAGCUGAGGCCUGAGGAGGUAAGAAGAUGAACAGAUUAACUUUCCUCCAGAAUUUAGGUGUCUUACCUGCAAAAUUUUGUUCCAUUGUGCCACAGUUUACAUGCACCUUGCUUAUAGGGAUCAAGAACCUUUCUUAAAGGGACAUUGUUAGACUUCACACUUCUGAUUAAUAGUAUGCUAGAUACAUAACUUUCAAAUAAUACCCAUUGUUACUAUGAUUUGAAAGAUACUGGUGAAAGUCUUUCAGGUUUUUUAGUAUUCAGUGAUUUUUUUUUUCUUUCAUACAGCACUUUUGUUGUUUUCCUUGUAUAAUCAGUCACUUUCUCCCUCUGUGUAAAGAUCCUUUAUAAGCAUCAGCGAGAUGCAGAAAAAUAUUAUACAUUUUCUUUUAAAAAUAAAAUCAGGGCAUACUGUUUAAAGGACACUCUAUCAGACAGGAAUUUUACAAAUACUAUUCCAUUUAAAAAUGCAAGUUGAUAGUAUCCUUUAAAACGCUCUUUUAAAAUAAAUCCUUUUCUUCUUCUUGGAAAUUGCAUGUUAUCUGUAUGUGGAAUGGAAAAGGGGAAUGGUAAUGGAGUAUGGAGGCUCUUAAUGCUUAGUCUGUAGUUCAGAUCUUUUGCAGGUCUGUAGUGAUAAAAAGCAGUUAUCUGAUGGUUGUUGCUUGACGUAAGUCAAAGGAGUGGAGGAUACCAGUCCAUCUUGCAUUAUAAGAGAACACCAUUUGGUACCUGUGCUAACAUUCAUCAUAGAGAGAUUUGCAAGGUGAAUUACCCAGUCACAUCUAGGUCUUGUCUACAUUAGUGAUAUUUGACAUGCUAACAACUGUUGGAACCUGAAACAUACCAUGUAUCUGCACGGGUGUGCUGUACUUGCUCUGAAAAGACCAACAGUGACAUCUGUCACCAUGUUGAUCAGCACUGGCAGGUUCAGUGCCAGCAUAGACAGCAGUGACUGGCAUAAGAGUUUCACUGAUUUAAUUAGUCCUUCUGUGACCAUCCACAGUGUAUUGGGCGCUGCUUCUGUAGCUCAGCUUGUCCAUCUUCUGGUCCAAGGGCAAGAUUUCUGAAAUCCUUCACUUAUACAAAUAGCUCUGCACAUCCUCUAGAUCUCAGUGUGCACUAUUUAUGAAUAGUAUUGACUUCUUUGCAACUGCUGUGUGUUAACAAGUCCACCUCAGAAUAUGUCUCAGAAGAAGACAACAUUGUAUAAGCGUGCUGCCAGCUGGCCUAAGGCAAUGAUCCAGGUGCUUGUAAAUAUCUACCUUAGGCAUGCUCUGUAAGCCGUAACAUCCUGGUGUACGGCUUUGUGUCUGAACAAUUGCACACCUAUGGAGUCUGAGAUAAUGGUGGACAACAUCCAGACACUUGAAAAUGGGCUGUUGAGGGACCUGCAGGAUGGGGAGGAGAAUUCCGUCUCCAUUGGCCUCUCUGACCUGGGGCCCAGUGAUACCUGAUAAUCUGAAGAGGUCUUGGAAUCACAGCAGAGACUUGCAGGCUGGAGAGGACAAUGACCCUGGAGGCCAGGGGACAUCUACACAAGAGACCACUUCUGCAACAAAGGUGUAAGUGGGAAAUGCUGGCAUGUUACAUAGAAGGACUUGGGAGCACAAGUGACAGUGUUUGGCAAAUCGAAGGACAAGGAGAUGAGCCAAAAGAAGAUCUGUUCCUCAGCCUUCAGAGGGAUGUGAAAAGAAACUGACAGAAUUUAAGUUCAAGGAUGAAAAUUCUACCAUUUUUGAAUGCCACGGCAGACCUAGAUAGGCAGAGAGAAUCCAUUAUGGACUCCAUAUAUCCUGAUACAGUAAUGGGGGACUGCAAGAGCUCUACUGUAAGGGGGUACAUGCAACAUCAAAGGCAGCUUGGUCAGUUAACCCAUUCAUGGGUCCCUGCACCUGUUCAGUAUGUUCAGUAUUCUUGGCAUAGUGCUGUGAUAUAGGACAGGCGAAGCUCUUAUUGAACUGCACAAUGUUCACCUGCUCUUUCCUGUAAGGCCCAAAACACUCCAUUCCUGCCUGUAAGAUGGACAUGAAUUUCAUGCCUCAGUAGGCCAGAAAACAGAAUAGAGUUGGUUACUGUAGAUGGCCUGCAUGUUUGAGAGAAAUAAUGCCAAAUCAAUUUUAAGUACAAGUGUACUUUUUUUUCCUUUUGAAGACCAAAACUGUUUCAUUAAUCCAUUACCUUCCUCAACCAAAACUAUAAAUUCAGAAAAAUACUUCUGUUUCAUGAGGUCAAAGCUUAUGUGGGAAAAUAUAUUUAGUAGCAUAAAAUGCAUAAUUAAAUGUUAGCUACUUAGCUGCCUCAGUGAAGUCCAUACCCUCCCCCCCAAUGUGUUCUGUGGAAGGGUUUAAGUGUAUUAAUCAUUGUCUUACCGUUGUAACAUUGUGGUUCACUGUUUGUAACAAGAGUAGGCUUGUGUAACUUUAUGGGAACAACUACCAUAAAACCCUUUUAACCAUUUAUUAAAUACAUAAUGUAAAAACUUGUCCGUCUGACAUUGACAUUAAGGUAAUGGAGUGGCUGAUAUGGAACUCAAUUAAUAAUGAAUUAAAGGCGGGUAAUAUAGUUACUUUCCAUGAACCCAUAGUAAUUGGAAUUAAGUCCUAUCAAACUAUCAACCAAAUUUUUAAUGGCAUCAAAAAGUUAAAGGUAAUAGCAUUGAUCCAAUCUAUUUAGACUUCUGUCAGGUGUUUGACGUGGUGCUGCAUGACAUUUUUGAUUUUAAACAAAUUGGGAUACAAAAUUAACAUGGCACGCAUUAAUGGAUUAAAAACUGGCUAACUGAUCUGUCACAAAAUGUCAUUAACGGAAUCAUCAUUGAACGAGUGAGUUUCUAGUGGGGCCAUGCAGGGAUGGUUCUUGGCUCUAUGCUAUUUAACAUCUAACAUAUUUUUAUCUGUGAUCUGCAAGAAUACUUAAAAUAAUCACUGAUAAAGUUUGCAAAUGACAAGCAAUUGGGGGGGGGGGUUUAAAUCGUCAUCUCAUUAACAUUUUUUUAGUCCCCUCUAAUUUUGCAGUCUCCUUCUAGACCUGAUGUGAUUAGUAUUCUAUUCCAUGUGAUGUUUUCUUCAUCUCAUUCCUUAUGCAUCCUAAUACCUUGUUUGUUUGCUUUUAUUUUUUAAAAUCACCAUUGAGCAGAGAUCUUCAUUGAGCUGUCUAUAGUCAGGCCUAGGUGCAUUUUAUGAGUUGAUAGCUAAUUUAGAACCCUGUAAGCUGUAUGAGCAGUUAAACUGUCUUCCUCCUCUGUGACUGACUUUGCAUUUAUCAACUAUUUGUAUUAGUAUAGUGUCUAGGAGCCCUAAUAAUUUCCAUUUUCCAAAUUCAGUUGGAGUGUGGAAAGUGAAGCAGAGAGAGCUAGCAACUUGUCAGACCUCACAUACUGUAGCAAAUAACUGGCAAAAUGGGGAAUAUUGCUUUCUUGACACAUCCUGAUUCCAACCAAGCUGCUUCUAUAAGAGUUCCAGUGCCUAACCACUGUUGUAAAUCACGAUCUAUGCUAAUAUCUAUUUAAUUCUAUAUGAAGCAGCAUAUCAAUACAUCAUAUUCCAUAAGUAUUAAAGGUGUUUUUCCCCCAUGUUUGCUGGUCACCUUGGCCACCUGUAUGAUCCCAUAGAGGUGUGCUUUAACGCAGGAUAAAAUAUUGACAUCAGCAGAAUACUCAAAACAACCUGGAGUCCUGAAACUUCCUUUUAGUAUAGUGCAGAAUCACCAAAUGAUGACUACAAAAUACUACAUACUUGGGGCGGGGGAAGCUUGUCCAUGAACUUUUAUCUUUAUCUGCAAACUAUUAAGUAUUAACUGUAAUAAAAGGUAAAUGGGUUUCUCACUACUGCUCAAUGCAUUACAUUGAAUGUUAAGGGUCCAAACCGUACAGAAUAAAAUGCAUGCAUUGACUGGUACAAAUUCACUAAAAUCUGACCCUUAACAGCACUAUGAGCCACUAUUGCAAACCCUGAGAUGAGAGCUAUGUACCAGCAACUCCUGUUAAAGGUGUUGAGCCCUCACAAUUCCCAGUAACUCAAGAGAGGUUUAAAAAAUGUAGAGGUGUAAAACUGUUGAACUGUAAUUGAUAGACACUGAGGGAAGGCACUUAAUCUUUAUGGUCCUUUCUAUGCUAUAGUUACAAAUGUCAACACAUUAUAACAACUUUAUUUUGCAUGUGUAGAUUAGAGCAGUCUGUUAUCUCACUGGGCAUAGCUGUGUUGUAAUUGUAGUGCAGAUGGGGGUCCAAAAUGAUAGAUAUCUAAAUAGGCUUCCAGACUUGUACAUUGUGCUAGUAAUGUACCAAACUGGUAAGUUCAGUUGGCAUUUUAAACUGGUGGAUGAGGCUAACGCACACUGUGUGUGUGUAAUAUAUAUACAUUUUUUUAUUUUAUUUUAUUUUUUGGUGUGGGGUGGAGAGAUGGGGCACUUGAGUUGGCAACGUGAUCCUCCUUCAUUGGAAGUGUUGUCAUUUUUCUUUAAAGCAAAUAGAAUUAGAUCCAAGAAACUAAACAGCUGCAGUACAUAUUUUGGAAGGUCAUUAGGGAAAACCUAUAAUGGAGAGGUUUUAAAAUUUCUUCUGUUGAGCCAUUUGAAAAGAGAUCAUACUUGAGAAUUCCUUUUAAAUUUUUUAAAAUAUUGUUUCUUCCAGCUCCUAAAAUCCAAAUCAUGAAACUUGGGUUCUCUUCUGUUUCAUAUUGGACUUUUUUGUUUGUUGCUGAAGUAGUGGCUUUGGCCCUUUAUACUUUCUAUUUUUAAGCAUGCACUCAUGGGGAUAGCUAUUUCUGAGAGCAUAUCUAAAGGUAUUCAGUAUAUUUGCACAGGAAGCCUUUUUUCAGUGAAUCUCAUAUAAGAUGAUUUUUUUCUUAUUCUCAAACCAGAGUCUAUUAAAGUUGUUUAUACAAUUGGGGCUUUAAAAUAGUCAGUGGGAAAACUUAACACUGAACUCCAGAGUUAAAAGAAAUUAAAUCUCCAUAUUUAUAAUUUCUGUAACUGCUGGGUGCAUGCAGUAGUUUGGAAAAUUAAAUCAGCCCUAAGAAGUUUUCUGGUGGCUUGAAUAAAAUGUACAAGCCUGAGAUGUGUGUUUUUAAUCCUAUCAAAACAAUCCUAAUUCUCACAAAUUGAAGUGCAGGUUGCCAACAAAUUUAUACCUCUAUGCUUUUUAAAAUCUCAUAGACAAAGUACAGCAGUUUAAUGAACCUAUAUACUUUCACACAGUGAGAUAGCUGACCCUUAAAAGGGGGCGGGCGGGCGCAGAGUCAGCUAGCUGUAGUGGGAAGGGAGGGAUAGGAUGCCGUGUAGAAGACUGACAAGAGCAGUAUUAGGCUGUGUAUCCCCAGUCAGUCUUACUCAGUAUGCCUUUCCUCUGCUGUUUAGGGUGUGGUGUGUGGUUUUUUUUUUUUUAAACGCUGGCAAGUGCCACAUUGUAUGCUGUUAAUGCUACCCCUGAGAUGUAGAAUAGCUUUCUAUAUAUUUAUAGCAUGCCUCUUGAAAUGCUCCUCAUUUCAAGUGAUCUCAUUCAUCUUAUUCUCAAAGUUACCAGUACCACAAACUUCUUGUCCUUGACUUUUCACUUCUAAAAAUAUUUACAACAGAAAUGAGCUUUAAAAGAUAGUUAUACACUGAAGGAAUGAGUCCCAUGUCAGCAGGAGUUUCCUGCAUGAAUAACUUUUUGUGUUCCUUGUCAUGUGAAAGAUUCAAAAUAUUUCACAUUUGGCUGUAGUAGGUUGAGAGCUGUGUUACAGCAAACUAACAUUUUACUUGGCUUUUAAGUAAAUCUUAAUGCAUUUUUAUUGAAACCUUUAAAUUUUUUUAAUAGAGAAAAUCAGAAACAUGUUUCUUAAGGAAAAUGGGUGUAAUGUACUAUGUCAACUCUGCUUGUUGUUCCCCAAGACUUCUACUUGUUUUCCAAGCUGAUGCUAUAGUGCAGUACUGAGGGACCCAUAGAUACCCAGUUAGCAGGAGUGAUCAGUGCACACAAUUCCUCCACAGAGAUCCCACCCUUGCUGGUCUGGUACCAAGCUCAAAGUCUGAUACUGUUUUUCCGUUAGAUUGUCAUCCGUGAUUUCAGUUUCUACUGCUCUUUGUAGCUGUUAGUGAUCACAAAUGUUCUUUGACCUUUAUGUGAUUUCUGUAUUGUGCAAUUGUAUAAUAUACACCCUAACUUAUUACAUUAAAAAAACUGUAGCAAAA